GACUCGGCGACGCCAACGAGGCCAACGUCUUGUCGUCUCUGAUAUCAAGAAGCUGCGAAUCAGGCUGGCUCUUGAGCUUAAGAAACGCGUUGAUGGCGGUUAUCGGUUUAUACUUCCUCAGGUAGAAGAUCGCCGCCGGGUAGACGACGAGGUAGAUGAAUGUGCAUCCCGCCACGAAAAACGGGUACUUGUUGAAAAAGUUGUCGAUCGUGAUCAGAAUCGACUCCAGAUCGAUUUUUCCGGUGGAUUGGUCGGAGAUUGAGGUGAAGGGUUGUGUUGAUGCGAGGACAGGGGAACAGAGGAUGGUGUGAGAAAGGGUGAGAGAGAGAUUGGUUUUGGACAGAAGGUGUAGCGAAUGAGAUAUGUUGUUGAGUGGAGCUGUGCGACUUUGGUCGGAAUUUGGAGUUUGAGGAGUGGAGGGUUUGGAUAGGUUUCGCGGAGGAGAAGAUGCGAGAAUUGUCGGAAGAGACGACAUCAUAACUAAAUGGCGACGAGAGACGAUGAGUGGAAGCGCCAAGAGGAUAAGAAACAAAAUAAAGGGCUCAUUCUUGUAAAAUUGGAUAAACACUAAAAGAUGAUGUCAAAACUGUAAAUAACUACUUUUGUCAAUUAUUAAUUUACAUAAAAAAAAAAAAAAUUGAGAACUAUUAAUUUUAGAUACAAUUGCCAAAACAAUUUCCCAAUUUAUCAACAAAUUUUCCCAGCUUUUUGUCUAUACUAUUUUUAGGGCAAUUCUCUUAAAUAACAAUUUUUAAGUUUUUGUCACAAAAAUAGUCUUCAAAAAGAAAAUGACAAAAAUAGCUCCAUUUUAUUUUGAAAUUUUUAAUAUUUAUUUUUAUUUUUUUUAAAUUUGAAAUCUUAUCAUCAAAACCCCCUAAUUCUAGAUUAGUUAACCCUAGAGUCAAAAUACAUUUUUACUUUUCGAUAAAACUUAUUUUGUUUAUUUUCUUCAUUGAACGUUAUUUUGCGACAAAAACUUAGAAAGAUAUAUCUUAGAAAAUUUCUCCUAUUUUUAUCACGUUAAUUAAUGAUUUUGUCUUUUCUCUAAGUAUUUUGGUUUCAGUUAAAUAAAAAUAACAUUACAUAUGAAAGAAAUUUUAAUAGAUUAUUUAUUUUUGCUUAAGUCUUAAGAAGAGAAAAAAAAACUCUGUAUUGUCAAACACUACUGUUUUGAUUUUCCAUCUAACGACAGUGAAUUCUGAUUUAUUCAUAAAAUUUAAGAUGAACAAAUUUAAAAUGUAAACCUAUAAUAUUUUACACAAAUUUAGAAAAAAAUAAAUACUUGCGUCUCUGUUUCCCUCCUCUCUCUAUAUAUUAUGGCAAAACAAACUGGAUACAUUUUACACAACACAAAGCUGAUCCCAUCUUAAUAAACUAAUGAGAUGAGUUAUGUUCAUCGUCUGAAGAUGAAGAAGAAGAAGACUGCUUUCGUCCGAAUAGUCCAGGCAGAGGCUGUGGCAGCAUUGGGUUCACAGGAACUGGAAACUUGUGAGCAGAACUAACCAUUGUUCUUUCGUUUAUCAUCCCUACUUCUUUGCAGACUCUGUCCACUACUCCGAGGAAGUCUCGAACCACCAAGAAUAUCCUAAACGGAUGUGCUUCUUCUUUAGCCGAGUUCCCAUGGAAAUACUCUGUGAUCUCUUUCACGAGAGACAACGCUACGCUCUCUUGAGCUUGUACUCUGAUGAUGUCUUCUUCAGCUCUUUUCAGAAACGUGUUCAUCGAUUCCAAAAACCUCUCGCUACUGCUGCUGCCGCUUUCUUCUCUGACCGUUGAUUGGAUUUGGACUGCUUCGUUGAUCUUGGCAAUGCCUUGGGAAAGCUUGGAGACGUAGCUGCUGAGUACUUCCGAGUCCAUUGCCGCAGCUUUCUUGACGUUGCCAAGCUCUGAAGAUAGACUUGAUACAACUUGGAGGCCGAGUUUCCUGCAUUUGAUGUCAUCCGUUUGUGUAUUGUUGUCACCUGAGAGACGUGUGCCUUCUGCUCGGAUGAUCUCUUGAACAACGAAAUGCAAGAGAGUUGUUUUCCCAUCAGCGCCUUUGACAUCGACCAGCUUGAGGAGCGUGUCGAGCUUGAACGCAUGUGCGUCGCCUCGGUUCGUCCCAACGUUCAUGCGGUUUCCUGUCUUUAGAACCGCUUCUAGAAGCUUUAAGAACAUUCUGCUGUUCCUCAGUUCCUCACAAGCAGCCUACCCCAUAAAAGGUUUGAUUCGUUACAAACACAAAUGGUAGCAAGAGAGAGAGAAGAUAGCUUUGCUUUAUACAUUACCUCAAGAGUCUGGAAAGAGUUCUUCAGGUAUUCAACCUCGGAGUCAAAGUUAGCUACAUAGAGCAUUGCGUCAACUCUUUUAAAGGCAAAAGGGAUGUCUAGCAUUGCCUUGAGGAACUUCUCAGCAUGUCCAAGCUUUACAGGCGAAUCAUCCUUGUACUCUUUUAACCUGCGCUCUUCCUCUUUCGUUGGGGCCAUCUUGAGUAAGCUCUCUAGAAGUUCAGUCCCAAGUGUUUCGGCAUUGCCUGAAAAGCAUAACAUAACAACAAUCAUUCAGGACAUCAACUUCUUAGAUCAUAGCUAAACAAACGCAGAUGAAAUGUGAAACUAAGUAUGUGACAGCAUAGGUUACCUUCAAGAAGCGCUUCACAGACUUCUUCAAUAGUGACAUUAAGUGCACGAAGCAGGAUUGCAAUAUUCUGAGCCUUCUUAGGGUCCAAGACUCUGUUCUCUUGAUUCGGGCUUGGGAGAGCGCAUCUUGGAGUAGUCUGGCUCUGAUUUGGUUUGGAGUCUAACGACUUUGCCACAAACAACGUUUCAAUCAUCUCUUCAUCUAAUCUGCAAUCACACCAAUAAAAUUUCAACAACCAUAUUGUGACAAAGAAACUAUGAGAUUAACUCACUUGAAAGAGCUUGAACGAAGCUGAUCCCAGACCAUCUCACGGUCGGAACUUGCUCUGACUUUAUCCCAGUGCAAAGCCUUAAGCUUCGGUUUAGGAGUUUCCUCUGCAGGCUCAUUGGCACUGAACGUCUCUUUUAGAGUCUCUUCUGGUGAAGUCUUUGGAAGGUUUUCGGAUGGGAUCACAAAAGGAUUCGAAGGCGGCGUGAGAGGAGGUGGUCGGGACGCCUUAGGAGUCGCUUGAUUCCGUCGUGCCCAUGUCGGAAACGGUGGAGGAGGUGGCGGAGGCGGCACUCGUGCAGACACCGGAGGCUGUAGAAUCUGAGAUGAAAUGUUGGAGAUUCGUGGAGAUACAUCUAAGCUAUGGCUAAAGUCUCUAUCCGGAGAAGACGAAAGAGACGACGACGAGGCAGACUGUGGAUCGUGAGAAGCUUUCUCCGGCGGCGACUUGUGAGAAGCUUUCUCCGAACGCAAUGCAUCCAACUCGUUAAGGAAGCCUUGUCCCGGGCGCCGCCUUUGAUGUAAUAAGCCUCUUUAAAUCCAUUCUCAACCAGCAAUUCAGCCACUUUCAUGGAGUUACCAUCAAAACUGCCUUCCACAUCAAAACAUGUAAGACAAACACAAAGCAAUAUCUUAAAAAAAGUAUGAAGCUUUUGGUCUAAAUCCUUACUUGUCAAGUACACAAACAACUGUGUUCUCCGGAUCAGAGAAUCCUCCUUUAACUCUCUUCACGAACCCCGACUCAUCUUCCUCACUAUACGGAACCUGAACCGAGCUCUUACCCAGAAACUUGAGACUCGGCGACGCCAACGAGGCCAACGUCUUGUCGUCUCUGAUAUCAAGAAGCUGCGAAUCAGGCUGGCUCUUGAGCUUAAGAAACGCGUUGAUGGCGGUUAUCGGUUUAUACUUCCUCAGGUAGAAGAUCGCCGCCGGGUAGACGACGAGGUAGAUGAAUGUGCAUCCCGCCACGAAAAACGGGUACUUGUUGAAAAAGUUGUCGAUCGUGAUCAGAAUCGACUCCAGAUCGAUUUUUCCGGUGGAUUGGUCGGAGAUUGAGGUGAAGGGUUGUGUUGAUGCGAGGACAGGGGAACAGAGGAUGGUGUGAGAAAGGGUGAGAGAGAGAUUGGUUUUGGACAGAAGGUGUAGCGAAUGAGAUAUGUUGUUGAGUGGAGCUGUGCGACUUUGGUCGGAAUUUGGAGUUUGAGGAGUGGAGGGUUUGGAUAG
rnacentral:lncRNA from 1 species